rnacentral:rRNA from 1 species
UACGUAGGGUGCUAGCGUUGUCCGGAUUUAUUGGGCGUAAAGGGCGCGUAGGCGGGCGGCCAAGUCAGGGGUGAAAGCCCCCAGCUCAACUGGGGAAGUGCCUUUGAUACUGGUUGUCUCGAGGGAGGUAGGGGCGUGCGGAACUUCCGGUGGAGCGGUGAAAUGCGUAGAUAUCGGAAGGAACGCCGGUGGCGAAAGCGGCGCGCUGGACCUCUUCUGACGCUGAGGCGCGAAAGCUAGGGGAGCAAACGGG